CCUACGGGGCGCAGCAGUGGGGAAUAUUGGACAAUGGGCGAAAGCCUGAUCCAGCCAUGCCGCGUGUGUGAAGAAGGCCUUCGGGUUGUAAAGCACUUUCAGUGGGGAAGAAAGCCUUGGGGCUAAUACCCUCGAGGAAGGACAUCACCCACAGAAGAAGCACCGGCUAACUCCGUGCCAGCAGCCGCGGUAAUACGGAGGGUGCGAGCGUUAAUCGGAAUUACUGGGCGUAAAGCGCGCGUAGGCGGUCUGAUAAGUCGGUUGUGAAAGCCCCGGGCUCAACCUGGGAACGGCAUCCGGAACUGUCAGGCUAGAGUGCAGGAGAGGAAGGUAGAAUUCCCGGUGUAGCGGUGAAAUGCGUAGAGAUCGGGAGGAAUACCAGUGGCGAAGGCGGCCUUCUGGACUGACACUGACGCUGAGGUGCGAAAGCGUGGGUAGCAAACAGGAUUAGAUACCCCAGUAGUC
rnacentral:rRNA from 1 species